rnacentral:lncRNA from 1 species
CGAUAUCUCAUGAUCAAACAUCCACAAUCCUAUACAGAAUCAAUUUUAAUAAUUAGAAAGAAUACGAAUAUCAUAUUUCAACGGUUUAGAUUGGGUCCGAUCAUCUAAUUUCAUCUAAUCAAAAUCUAAUUAGGACCUAAACAAUCCAAAAUUUGACUAUCAGAUCAAAUCGGAUUCGAAGUGAUAGGAUCGAGGUUUCUUCAUCGAUUUCAUAAAAUCAAGUAGAGAGAGAUAAUUAGAGGAGAGAGAAUUCAUGAGGUACAAUUCGAAUUGAUCAGGUGACACAAUCCAACAUUACGAUUGAUCCAAUAUCUCGAUUGAUGAAAUCAACAUGAUCAAAUCAAGUCAUGACU